GGAGAGAGUGUAGGUUCUAAGUCUUUAGAGGAGUGGGUUCAACACUUGUACAUAGCACUUUUUUAGUAUUUCAUUUUCUUUUAGCUUUUAUUUUUAGUAUUUUAUUGUCUUUUAGCAUUUUGUUUCUUUUAAUAUUUUUUUUAUGUCCAUGCUUCUUUAUUAAAUCCAUCAUGCAUGCGAAACCACUUGAAAACUAAAAAAAAUCAUAAUUUUCUCGAUUUAAUAUCGAGCCCUUUUUCACACCCUUGUAAGUCGAUUGCUUUUUAAGCAUCGCCAUCAACCUCACAUAGCUUACUCUUGGGCUUUCUUACAAUGAGC
rnacentral:lncRNA from 1 species